GAAGCGGGCCAGACCGCCGCUGGUGCGGGGCCCGAAAGGGCGCACUGGAGGAAGGUCCGGACUGCACGGGGCAGCGUAGCGGGUAACGCCCGUCCACCGCGAGGUGCGAAUCAGAGCCACAGAGACGAGCCGGUUCAGUCCGGAGUGAAACGCGGCAAUCUUUACGCGCAGCAACACCGAAUAGGCCGGCGAUGAGGCGGCCCGCGGAGCCGGCGGGUGGGUGGCACCGAGCCGUGCAGCGAUGCACGGCCCAGAGGAAUGGCGGUCACGGCGCGGCCUUCGCAAGAGGGCCGCGGCGCACAGAAUCCGGCCUAUCGGCCCGCUUCACAC
rnacentral:RNase_P_RNA from 1 species